AUUGAACGCUGGCGGCAGGCCUAACACAUGCAAGUCGAGCGGAUGAAGGGAGCUUGCUCCUGGAUUCAGCGGCGGACGGGUGAGUAAUGCCUAGGAAUCUGCCUGGUAGUGGGGGAUAACGUCCGGAAACGGGCGCUAAUACCGCAUACGUCCUGAGGGAGAAAGUGGGGGGAUCUUCGGACCUCACGCUAUCAGAUGAGCCUAGGUCGGAUUAGCUAGUUGGUGGGGUAAAGGCCUACCAAGGCGACGAUCCGUAACUGGUCUGAGAGGAUGAUCAGUCACACUGGAACUGAGACACGGUCCAGACUCCUACGGGAGGCAGCAGUGGGGAAUAUUGGACAAUGGGCGAAAGCCUGAUCCAGCCAUGCCGCGUGUGUGAAGAAGGUCUUCGGAUUGUAAAGCACUUUAAGUUGGGAGGAAGGGCAGUAAGUUAAUACCUUGCUGUUUUGACGUUACCAACAGAAUAAGCACCGGCUAACUUCGUG
rnacentral:rRNA from 1 species